UCAUUCUUUUCAAACAGAUUCUUCUUUGCAACCGCCGACUGGCUUCCUUCUUCCUCUUUUUCUAAAGUUCUCCAACAGCACUUCAUUGAAUACCAUAAGAGAAUCUCUCGCAGUUACCGACGCAAUCACACUUUAUAGAACGCCAGAAAACAAUCUCUCGCAGUUACCGGCGACACAUCCUUCUGUCACACCUCUUCUUUAUCGAAUCGCCCUUCGUGGUUCACAUGUCUGAGCAUUUCUUCUGAUGCAGAAUAGGAGUUGAGGAAGCUGUUGAAACCAAAAAAGGACUUGCAGCAAGGAAUUAUCAAGUUAAUUUCUUUUCAGAAACUCUUCUUUCUAUCCUCUUGUAACUGGUUUUGGGUUUCCUCCUCGCAAAAACCCACCACUCUUCUUACCGUUCAUCUUUUACCGAUCGGUUUUUGACAAUAGAUGCGAUAGGAGUAACGAUUGUAAAGGAGACAUUCAAUUCAUAAAUAGUACAAACUGUGUAGCAAGCAUGAAUGACGGCAGAGAUGCUAAUGACGUUGAAGUGAGCAAUGGUAGUUAUGAGGAUAAUGAAGAAGGAAAAGAGGACUUGGAUGGUCAUAAAAAUAUUGGUGAAAUCUCAGAUGAUGAUAUAAGAGAUAUGAAAUUUGAAUCAGAGAAAAAAGCUUGUGAGUUUUAUGAAACAUAUGCAGAAUAUCAUGGGUUUGCUGUAAGAAGAGAUGAGAUUGACCGUGAUUUCAAAAAAAAUAUUAUUAUACGAAUCAUUUUGAAUUUUAAUCUCAUUCUGUUCGAGGCGCCAAAAUUCAACCAACGUGAGUGUCAAAACUUACUUUCCAAAUGCUCCUAAAAUACACUAAGUCUUUUAUCCUUGUCUCUAUUUUACUUUAAUACCUUUCGACAAGGUAAAAACCA